GAUGGUGCGGCAGAGUGGUUGAAAUGCGCCGCGCUCGAAACGCGGCAUGCCUGCAAGGGGAUCGGGGGUUCGACCCCUCUCCGACC
rnacentral:tRNA from 1 species